ACUUAGUGGCAGACGGGUGAGUAACAUGUGGGUAUCUACCCUUUGGCCUGGAAUAACACGAGGAAACUUGUGCUAAUACCGGAUAAGUCUUUACGGAGAAAGCUUUAUGCACCAUUGGAUGAGCCCGCACUUGAUUAGUUUGUUGGUAGGGUAAUGGCCUACCAAGACUAUGAUCAAUAGCUGAUUUGAGAGGAUGAUCAGCCACAUUGGGACUGAGACACGGCCCAAACUCCUACGGGAGGCAGCAGUGGGGAAUCUUGCACAAUGGAGGAAACUCUGAUGCAGCGAUGCCGCGUGAGUGAAGAAGGCCCUUGGGUUGUAAAGCUCUUUCGUCGGGGAAGAAAAUGACUGUACCCGAAUAAGAAGGUCCGGCUAACUUCGUGCCAGCAGCCGCGGUAAUACGAAGGGACCUAGCGUAGUUCGGAAUUACUGGGCUUAAAGAGUUCGUAGGUGGUUGAAAAAGUUGGUGGUGAAAUCCCAGAGCUUAACUCUGGAACUGCCAUCAAAACUUUUCAGCU
rnacentral:rRNA from 1 species